AUUGAACGCUGGCGGCAGGCCUAACACAUGCAAGUCGAGCGGAUGAAGGGAGCUUGCUCCUGGCUUCAGCGGCGGACGGGUGAGUAAUGCCUAGGAAUCUGCCUGGUAGUGGGGGAUAACGUCCGGAAACGGGCGCUAAUACCGCAUACGUCCUGAGGGAGAAAGUGGGGGAUCUUCGGACCUCACGCUAUCAGAUGAGCCUAGGUCGGAUUAGCUAGUUGGUGGGGUAAAGGCCUACCAAGGCGACGAUCCGUAACUGGUCUGAGAGGAUGAUCAGUCACACUGGAACUGAGACACGGUCCAGACUCCUACGGGAGGCAGCAGUGGGGAAUAUUGGACAAUGGGCGAAAGCCUGAUCCAGCCAUGCCGCGUGUGUGAAGAAGGUCUUCGGAUUGUAAAGCACUGUAAGUUGGGAGGAAGGGCAGUAAGUUAAUACCUUGCUGUUUUGACGUUACCAACAGAAUAAGCACCGGCUAACUUCGUG
rnacentral:rRNA from 1 species